rnacentral:rRNA from 1 species
GACGAACGCUGGCGGCGUGCCUAAUACAUGCAAGUCGAACGCUUCUUUCCUCCCGAGUGCUUGCACUCGAUUGGAAAGAGGGGUGGCGGACGGGUGAGUAACACGUGGGUAACCUACCCAUCAGAGAGGGAUAACACUUGGAAACAGGAGCUAAUACCGCAUAACAGUUUAUGCCGCAUGGCAUUAGAGUGGAUGGCGCUGUCGGGUGUCGCUGAUGGCUGGACCCGCGGUGCAUUAGAUAGUUGGUGGGGUAACGGCUCACCAAGGCCAAGAUGCAUAGCCGACCUGAGAGGGUGAUCGCCCACCUUGGGACUGAGACACGGCCCAGAGUCCUACGGGAGGCAGCAGUAGGGAAUCUUCGGCAAUGGACGAAAGUCUGACCGAGCAACGCCACGUGAGUGAAGAAGGUGUUCGGAUCGUAAAACUCUGUUGUUAGAGAAGAACAAGGACGUUAGUAACUGAACGUCGCGUGACGGUAUCUAACCAGGAAGCCACGGCUAACUACGUG